GGAAGAAGGCAACAUUCGAAAAUUGUCGGGAACUGGAAAAGCUAAAGCUAAAUUCGAAAAAUAUCAAGCUAAGAGCGAGGUGUUUACUUACCAACCUGAAGCUGAUAGCACAUUGUCAGUCAAAAAGCGUAAGCAUUCGGAAUCAUCCCCUGCUGAAGUUAAAGAUGAAUCAAUAGCAGAAGCUGAACAGGUGGCUAAGGAUGAAGAAGCGUCUGGAGUAGAAAAGAAAAAGAAAAAGAAGAAGAAGAAUAAAAGUCAAGAUCAAGAGCAAACAGAGGCUCCACCUGCAAAAAAGAAAGCUAAAACUAAGGAGCCGGACUCUGAUUAGCUUUAUUGAUCGUAGUGUUAAUUUUUAGGUUAAAAAUUUAGAUGUACAAAGUGUUUGUUUAUAAGCAUACAUUAAGGCUCGUUCACAACAAAUGUUCCCUACGAACACAUUUGUAUCUAAACGCUCCCUUUAUACCCGUACACCUGGUAUAUACGUACCUAUAAUAAUGAUUUUGAUGAAUAAUUGUAGAUGUAUAAUAAAAUGUAUUUUACUUGAUUUCUUAAACAAA